rnacentral:sRNA from 2 species
AUAAAAUGGGCGCCUAAUUUCUAUUUUGAGGAAACGGGGGAACCGUUAUUUUGGGGGUGAACUACCUGUUGGUAGCGGGCUAUCUUUCGGUCCGAACCCGUCAGCUAACCCCGUAGGAGUAGAAAGUGGGGGAAA